GUGAGGAAUAUUGGUCAAUGGGCGGGAGCCUGAACCAGCCAAGUCGCGUGAAGGAAGAAGGAUCUAUGGUUCGUAAACUUCUUUUGCAGGGGCAUAAAGUGCAGGACGUGUCCUGUUUUGUAUGUACCCUGAGAAUAAGGAUCGGCUAACUCCGUGCCAGCAGCCGCGGUACUACGGAGGAUCCGAGCGUUAUCCGGCUUUAUUGGGUUUAAAGGGUGCUUAGGUGGUUUGAUAAGUCAGCGGUGAAAGUUUGCAGCUUAACUGUAAAAAUGCCGUUGAAACUGUCGGACGUGAGGAUAAAUGAGGUAGGCGGAAUGCGUGGUGUAGCGGUGAAAUGCAUAGAUAUCACGCAUAACUCCGAUUGCGAAGGCAGCUUACUAAGCUACAACUGACACUGAAGCACGAAAGCGUGGGGAUCAAACAGGAUUAGAAACCCCUGUAGUCC
rnacentral:rRNA from 1 species